GGCGAUAAAGAAUCACCUUCUCUCUUUCAUCACCUCAUAAAGUCUUUUAUCACUUUCUCUGUGCAAUAAGCGAUAAACGUCACCCCCUUCGUCGGAACGGAGAGAUGCGAGAGAACGCCGACGAACGUCUUAAUCGGAAUCUGCUGGAAAGUCGGAUUCAUGCGCAGGUUGCCCUAAUCAGGAAGCAGUGGCCUUAUCCAGGUUUGGUUGCCAUUGCCGAGAGAAUGAGCACUGUUUAGCACAAAGGUUUUGGUAGGAGCACUUUCUCUGGCGGCACAAGACAUCGGAUAUAUUCAUAACUCCACGACUGCUUCUGGAAAAUAGAUAACGAGAAGCUGUUAGUAGCAGUGGAGAGAGCAACAUCAGAAUACACUUCCUCCCUGAAAUUUAUAGAAGAGCCACAAGCGGAAGAGAAACGAUCCUGUACAUUACCACAAGCCAACCGUGUGUGGAAGCCAGGUGCUUUAGCAGUCUAUCCAGGUUGGAAAAGUUAUAUGGAAUGGAACAGAGGAUAAGCUUCUGAGUUGAUGCACAGUUUCCAUGAGUUAUAUGAUAUAUGCACUUCUGCGGCCUUUGGGAUCAGUGUGAACAAGCUUGGUGGAGAUAUCUGCAGAAGGAUUUGGGAAACGAUGCACUUGAUAAACAACUGUUUGGUACUAAACCAGAGGAUAUAGAGACGCCAUGACAUGUUUCCAGGCUGUUGUAUCUUACAUGAAACCAGAAAUGCUGUCAAAGGUUUAAGGAGUUCUAUAAUGGAGGGUGGUUUCUGUUGGAAUCUCUGCUCGUUGAGAGUCAAAUGGGAGUGAGAGUGACAGUGUUUUGUUGUCCAGAGAAUCACAGUUUACUACGGUUCAAGGAGCUUGGAAUAGCGCACAUCGUGGGGGGAUACUACCGAAGUUUCGUGGGCAGAGUUCACAUGGUUCAAGCAAGACGUUGAAGCCGAUUUUGAGAUGUGUUACUUGAAGAUGUUCUUAUGGUGAAGCAACUGAUCAGUAAACCGCCGAAGGACGAAACCAAGUCGAGACCUCGUACAAAGAAUCCAUAUCUUCUCAAAGCUGAUACGCGUAGUGGUGUUGAAAUUGAAACAGAGAUGAGUAUCUACCGCUAUCGGUCAUGCUGAGUAUCCUUGAGCUUGCCAAGGCUAUGCCUUUCCUUUCCAAAACACAUCCAAAGCAAGCUGAAACCGUGAACGAGCACAUUCACAUAGAAACAGCUUGUUGGAUAUUAUUGCAUACCUGGCAUGGACGACAAGAUCAUAUGAACAACAUAGUCACUUGUUUUAAGUUCAGUACAGCUCGUUCUACAGAUGCGAUGGGGAGUUUCUUUGUCUUUGAAGUGUUUCAUCCUGCACGACUCCCAGAGUUAUUACCUGUGGCCCAAUGGAUUCUUGGGUUGGGCAGUUGAUUGGUUAGUUUCGUAACUUCGACUUUAGUAGGUACAUUAUGCUGAAGAAGUGGCUAGGAACCUUAAAUCAAGCUGGGAAAAAUAAUUAUGGGUCUAAAGAUUUGUUAAGAGUAUGAUAAGUGGCUGAAGCAAGGGAAAUUUCUACUUCUUCAUAUACACUAUCCAAGUGCCAUGAAGUUUGUUGUUUAAAACAGAGAUAGUCUCUGCAAAUAAUAUUGGAAAUUGGGGGAAAGCUUGCGGCAAUGAUUCAAAUCCAAAUGCUGCUGCAAGUGCAGAGAUCCAGCCAACUCUCCAGUGCUGGUGUGACAGUUUUUGGAUCUUGAGCUGUAAUUGUGGUUGACGUCGACUGGAGAGAGAUUGAUUACCUCGUGGUUGAUGCCCCACCAGGAACUUGGACGACCAAAUCUUCAUCGUCCAAUACCUUCAUCAUUGUCACGACCCCACAAGAAGUCGCAUUGAUCGAUGUCAGGAAAGAAAUGAGCUUUUAUAAGAAGAUGUGCUUGCCCAUCAUGACGAUGAUCAAGAAGAUGAUUAUGGCAGAAACGUUUGCACCGAAGAAGUUGCUUGUUUAGAUGAUGAAUCCUAUGCUAGAGCUCUUAAGUAAGCUGAAGAAAAUGGAUAUAGCAGAUAGAUUGUCUGCCUUAUCUGAGUUAGCAGAUCGUGGGUGGACUUAUUGUUCUCUCAAAUUCUCUUUGAUGGGCUUCUGGAAUUGGUUUGGGAUUUUAUGCGUACUGUAGAAGAUCUGGAGGAUGGGGAUCAUACUUCUGAUCAGCAUGUGAAAAGAACCAAAGUGCAAAGUUGUGACAUAGAACCUGCCAUCGUCGAAAUACAUCGUACAUGGCUCCAUCUAUCUACUAUCCUUGUGUCAUGACUCAUGGAUGCGUGGGAUGAGAUGGAUCCUGAUGAGCAUUCAUAUGAGGAGUUGCUCGAGGUUGGCGAAAUCUUUAGGAACCGAGAGUAGAUGAUCUGCUGAUACAAUUGCAUCCUUGCCUUCAAAUAGAUAUAAUAAAGAUGCAGACAAUCGGAACGGAACCAACGAGAGUCGUAAUGCCUCUUUCUGUAACUAGUUAAGUAAGGCACUUACUACUUCGUGAAAGCAAUCAGUUAUUGUAGUCAGCUACGUGACUUGAUAAGCACAACUAGUUUGAUUGUUUUGUAUUCUGUCUCUCUCUCCCGACUCAUAGCCAGUUUGAUAAGGAUAUUAUAUUAUUAUCAUAAUUAGAACUUGAA